CGGUAUAUAGCUCAAGCGGAAGAGCGCCGGUCCGAAAGGCCGGAGGUGCGGGUUCGGUCCCCGUUAUACCAC
rnacentral:tRNA from 1 species